GCAGCUCAUGUCCUUUUCCUGGGUAAGGCAGGUAGUAACUCACAGCUGGCUGUGUGUAUUUUGGCUCUCAGACUUCUUUUUAACCAGUGGUUCCAGAUUUCUGGAUUUGACAGAAAAACAAAGCCAGAAAACAAGUGAAAGCCAGGUUCCCAUAAAGAGUUGCAGCUUUAAAUUUACGCUCCCUAAGGGCAUGGAGAACAUACCUACGAUCUAUUAUCACCAUCAUUAAAGAAAAUACUUCUGUUUCUUUGAGACAGGGUCUGGCUCUGUCACCCAGGCUGGAGUGCAGUGGCAUGAUCUCGGCUCACUGCAACCUCUGCCUCCCAGGUUCAGGCAAUCCUACCGCCUCAGCCUCCAGAAUAGCUGGGACUACAGGCACGCACCACCAUGCUGAGCUAAUUUUUGUAUUUUUUGUUGGGGGUUGGCGGGGUUUGCUUCAGCCCAGGCCAGGCUCGAACUCCUGGGCUCAAGCAAUCCACUCGCCUCAGCCUCCCAAAGUGCUGAGACUGCAAGUGUGAGCUACCACGCCUGACCUAAGAAAAUACAUUUUAAUUCUCAAAAUAGGAGUGACAUCAUCUGAAUCUGUUAGUUCCAGCCAGGCGCGGUGGCUCGUGCCUAUAAUUCCAGCCCUUUGGGAGGCCGAGGCAGGCGGAUCAUGAGCUCAGGUGUUCGAGACCAGACUGGGCAACAUGGCAAAACCCUGUCUCUACCAAAAAUACAAAAAAUUAGCCUGGUGUGGUGGCGCAUGCCUGUAGUCCCAGCUACUUGGGAGGCUGAGGCGAGAGGAUUGCUUGAGUCUGGGAGGCAGAGAUUGCAGUGAGCCAACAUCGCACCACUGCGCUCCAACCUGGGUGACAGAGUGAGAACCUGUCUCAAAAAAAAGAAAAAAAAAAAAGAAAGAAAACAAUUAUUCCCAAGAAAAGAUGGUCAAUGGACUUUAUGCCAACAAAUAGACAUUCCUUUGUCUUUAAUUUUUUUGUUGUACUGUGGACU
rnacentral:lncRNA from 1 species